UACGUAGGGGGCUAGCGUUGUUCGGAUUUAUUGGGUGUAAAGCGCGUGUAGGCGGCUUGUUAAGUCGGGUGUGAAAUCCCUCAGCUCAACUGAGGAAGUGCGCCCGAAACUGGCGAGCUUGAGUGCCGGAGAGGAUGGCGGAAUACCCCAAGUAGAGGUGAAAUUCGUAGAUAUGGGGUGGAACACCGGUGGCGAAGGCGGCCAUCUGGACGGUAACUGACGCUGAGACGCGAAAGCGUGGGUAGCAAACAGG
rnacentral:rRNA from 1 species